GAUCCUGGCUCAGAUUGAACGCUGGCGGAAUGCUUUACACAUGCAAGUCGAACGGUAGAGGGGGCAACCCCUCGAGAGUGGCGAACGGGUGAGUAAUAUAUCGGAACGUGCCCAGUCGUGGGGGAUAACGUAGCGAAAGUUACGCUAAUACCGCAUACGAUCUACGGAUGAAAGCGGGGGAUCGCAAGACCUCGCGCGAUUGGAGCGGCCGAUAUCAGAUUAGGUAGUUGGUGGGGUAAAGGCUCACCAAGCCAACGAUCUGUAGCUGGUCUGAGAGGACGACCAGCCACACUGGAACUGAGACACGGUCCAGACUCCUACGGGAGGCAGCAGUGGGGAAUUUUGGACAAUGGACGCAAGUCUGAUCCAGCCAUUCCGCGUGCAGGAUGAAGGCCCUCGGGUUGUAAACUGCUUUUGUACGGAACGAAAAGGUUUCUAUUAAUACUAGGAGCUCAUGACGGUACCGUAAGAAUAAGCACCGGCUAACUACGUG
rnacentral:rRNA from 1 species